rnacentral:rRNA from 1 species
AGACACGAGCUGACGACAGCCAUGCACCACCUGUCUCUGCGCUCCCGAAGGCACUCCCUCGUUUCCAAAGGAUUCGCAGGAUGUCAAACCCUGGUAAGGUUCUUCGCGUUGCAUCGAAUUAAACCACAUACUCCACCGCUUGUGCGGGCCCCCGUCAAUUCCUUUGAGUUUCACACUUGCGUGCGUACUCCCCAGGCGGAACACUUAACGCGUUGGCUACGACACCGAGGGGGUCGAUUCCCCCGACACCUAGUGUUCAUCGUUUACGGCCAGGACUACAGGGGUAUCUAAUCCCUUUCGCUCCCCUGGCUUUCGUCCAUGGGCGUCAGUUAUGGCCCAGCAGAGCGCCUUCGCCACUGGUGUUCUUCCCGAUAUCUACGCAUUUCACCGCUACACCGGGAAUUCCCUCUGCCCCUACCACACUCUAGCCUUGCAGUUUCCAUCGCUUAAAUGGAGUUAAGCUCCACGCUUUGACGACAGACUUACAAGGCCGCCUGCGGACGCUUUACGCCCAAUAAUUCCGGAUAACGCUUGCCACUCCCGUAUUACCGCGGCUGCUGGCACGGAAUUAGCCGUGGCUUAUUCAUCAAGUACCGUCAGAUCUUCUUCCUUGAUAAAAGAGGUUUACAGCCCAGAGGCCUUCAUCCCUCACGCGGCGUUGCUCCGUCAGGCUUUCGCCCAUUGCGGAAAAUUCCCCA